GUUCCUAUCGACGGCCUCGCUCGGCACCUCGAUGUCGGCUCACCACAGCGCGGGGCUGGAGAAGGUCCCAAGCGUUUGGCUGUUCGCCAAUUAAAGUGGUACGUGAGCUGGGUUCAGACCGUCAAAGAAAAGAACCCUUUACGACAAUCGAACACGGCGGCUUUAUACCGUAAGGUAUAUCGAAUAAAUCGACUCAUAUCGGUGAAAUCCUAAUAUUGAUUUUCAACCUGUCAAAUGUUAGGAUAAUACCGAGGGAAGUUAUAUAUGCUUAAUCAAGCUCAAAAAUCAUAUAUUGCAGGAUUUUUAGAUGGAGAUGGGAGUAUUUAUGUGCGAUUAAAACCAAAUCAAAGUUAUCGAUAUGGUUUUCAAAUAUCGCCGUAUAUCGUUUUAUUUCAAUCUCAAAAAGAUCAAAUUAACUUUCAAAAAAUCUGUAAUUUAAUUAAUUUAGGAUAUUUAAGAGUACGUAAAGACGGCAUUCUUGAGUAUAUAAUUGGAAAAACAGAUGCAAUUAGAAAAUUUUUACAAAUAGUAAAACCAUUUGUAAUUCUAAAAAAAGAACAAGUUAAUUUGAUGAUAAAAAUUCUAGAUAUUAAAGAGAAUAUAAAAAACAAGAAUGAUUUUAUUAAGCUUGCAAAAUUAAUAGAUGAUUUUAGAGAAUUAAAUUAUUCUAAAAAGCGAAAAAAGCGUAUAUUAACCCCGUAGAGACUUCUCUGACAUACGUCGGAGAGAUAAAAUCUUCAAAGAUUUUAUAAAAUGUCGAUCUUCUUAAUAAAAAAAGAAGGUGGUAUAGUCCAAUCAAUUAGUAAUAGUUGAAAUUUUGCGUGAGACAGGUUGGUCUCUAUCUGUUGCAGGCGUUGAAGUUUGAAGGAAGUUGACCCUAGUACGAGAGGACCGGGUUGAACGAACCUCUGGUCUACCGGCUUUGCCACCAGGUGAAGCGCCGGGUAGCUAUGUUCGGCAGGGAUAAGCGCUGAAAGCAUCUAAGCGCGAAGCCCUUCCUAAGAUUAGACUUCAAGACUCGUGGAAGACUACCACGUUGAUAGGCUCCAGGUGUAAGGCUAGUAAUAGUUUUAGCCGAGGAGUACUAAUAAGUCAGACUUUCUUAU
rnacentral:rRNA from 1 species